rnacentral:rRNA from 1 species
GUGAGGAAUAUUGGUCAAUGGACGGAAGUCUGAACCAGCCAUGCCGCGUGCAGGAAUAAGGUCCUAUGGAUUGUAAACUGCUUUUAUUCGGGAAUAAACCUCUUUACGUGUAGGGAGCUGAAGGUACCGAAGGAAUAAGCACCGGCUAACUCCGUGCCAGCAGCCGCGGUACUACGGAGGGUGCAAGCGUUAUCCGGAAUCAUUGGGUUUAAAGGGUCCGCAGGCGGGCUAUCAAGUCAGAGGUGAAAUCCCACAGCUUAACUGUGGAACUGCCUUUGAAACUGAUGGUCUUAAAUUAAUUGGGCGUUGGCUGAAUAUGACAUGUAGCGGUGAAAUGCAUAGAUAUGUCAUGGAACACCGAAAGCGAAUGCAGCUAACGAUACUUAUAUUGACGCUCAUGGACGAAAGCGUGGGUAGCGAACAGGAUUAGAAACCCGGGUAGUCC